UUUCUUGUCACACAUCUAGAAUCUUUAGUUAUUUGUACUAAUACAAAUUAUGCACAACAUUUUACAUGUCCUUGCUGUUUCUUCUGUAGAUGAAGAUGAUGUGAUUCGGAAUCUUAACAAGGGGACCCUCCCUAAAGUUAAAGGGUAAGAAAGCAUAGAGGUUGUUGUUUUGUUGUAAUAGUAUGAUAGAAGAGAAUGCAUUUAUGUGACCCACGUAGAUAGCUUAGGAAUGUGUGCGAUGGUAUAAGGAUAAGUGUGAG
rnacentral:lncRNA from 1 species